rnacentral:misc_RNA from 1 species
AGAAAAAGGAAUCAUAAAGAAAAGUAAAACCACAAAUCCUUAUAACUAACUAAGUAAUCUUCCAUUUCGCUUCGCACCCUCUGAUUAUUUCCCGCCACCAAAAAUCAAGCACCGAUGGAGAAUUUGAUAUCAUUGGUAAACAAGAUACAGAGGGCGUGUACUGCCCUUGGAGAUCACGGCGAAGAAAGCGCCUUGCCUACUCUCUGGGACUCUUUACCCGCCAUUGCCGUCGUCGGUGGCCAGAGUUCUGGGAAGUCUUCAGUCUUGGAGAGCAUUGUUGGCAAGGACUUUCUACCUCGCGGGGCAGGGAUUGUUACACGACGUCCACUUGUCCUGCAGCUUCAUAGGAUUGAUGAAGGAAGAGAAUAUGCUGAGUUUAUGCAUCUCCCAAGAAAGAAAUUCACUGAUUUUGCUGCUGUGAGGCAGGAGAUCUCUGAUGAGACCGAUCGAGAGACUGGCCGCACCAAACAAAUCUCUACUGUUCCAAUCCAUCUUAGCAUUUAUUCCCCCAAUGUUGUGAAUUUGACAUUGAUUGAUCUUCCUGGUCUUACCAAAGUAGCUGUUGAGGGUCAA